rnacentral:lncRNA from 1 species
UUUCUUCUUCUUUUAUUUUUAUUAUUUUUUUUAUUAUUUUAUAUUUUACUCAAAGAAAACAAAAUUUUUAUGUGCUGUGCGAAUGGUUCCUCCGUGUGGUCUAACACUUAUUUUUGUCUUUUUUUUUUAAUUAACGGGAAAAAACAAAUCCCAGAAAGGGGUGGGGGAUGGCAAACAUCACAAGUUGAUGCUGUCUUUGGAAAAACAGAAUUUGCCUGAAGGUAUAAGUAGAUUUGUUUUUUAAAAAGUAGAAACACCAAUGUCAAGAGUUGGGCAACCAGAUGUUUAAGAAAAUUAUUUUCCUCAGUAAUUAAGCUAUUUUUUUCCUCUUCUUUUCUUUUCUUGUUUGAACCUCCUGGGUUUUUUAUAUAUAUAUAAAUAUUUUAUGUUUUCUUAGAAAUAUUUAGGUAAGGUUUAUCUUGAAUCUUAAUUGCCUUAAUUUUUAAGGACGUCAAAGGCUCCAGAGGCAUGCUUUCAGCGUCUUGUUAAAAAAAAAAAAUCAAGAAAGAAUUGAGUUUUUGUGCCAGCCUUCACUGACAUAGAAGAUGGAGACUGAGUUUUUAGGGUGGAAAAGAAAAAGAAAAAAAAAAAAACAAAACUGUACAGUUUGAAGGAAAAUGUGUUUUCUUCAUUUGAAGAAAAUUUGUUGAUAAAAGAAACCAAGGCAACCGCAAGAGUUUGGAAACGCUGGGACUUCUCAUGAACUUUGACACAAUCACUCUAAAAGGCUAAAAGACAUUUUAUGGUAAAGUUAUUCACGUUGGUUUUAAAAACAACUGCAUUAGAAAUAAUGCAAGUUUGGGGGGCAGAAUGCAGAUUUUUUUUUUUUUAAUUUACAAGAGCGUGGUUGCUAGCGAAAGCGUCAGUGCUUUUUAUCUGCAGUUUUUUCUAUGAGCUUUGUCAGGUUUUAGUCAGCUUUGCUUGUCACAUUGCAAAACCUAGCAUAAGAGCACUCAAAACAAAACUUAAGUAGAUAGACGCUUAUGGUCAAAAAGUGCAAAAAAAUAAAAAAUAAAACAAAAACACACACACAAAAAAACAAACAAAACAAAACAAAAACAAAAAAAAGCAAUAGAUAGAGAAAUUGUUGACAAUUUCUGUAGUCUUUCUUAGUUGUGGUCAAUUGCAGCCUAUGGAUGGCCUAUUUUAUACCAAAGAUGAAGUGAGACCCUGUUACAGGCGUGAUGGUAGACACUGCUUUUCUUUCUUUGAAGUUUUGUUUGACCUACAUGGCCGGACCAGUUCUAACUUCAUUUAAACUACCUUCCACUAGUGUGUUACAUACCAC